UUGAAGAGUUUGAUCAUGGCUCAGAUUGAACGCUGGCGGCAGGCCUAACACAUGCAAGUCGAACGGUAACAGGAAGCAGCUUGCUGCUUUGCUGACGAGUGGCGGACGGGUGAGUAAUGUCUGGGAAACUGCCUGAUGGAGGGGGAUAACUACUGGAAACGGUGGCUAAUACCGCAUAACGUCGCAAGACCAAAGAGGGGGACCUUCGGGCCUCUUGCCAUCAGAUGUGCCCAGAUGGGAUUAGCUUGUUGGUGAGGUAACGGCUCACCAAGGCGACGAUCCCUAGCUGGUCUGAGAGGAUGACCAGCCACACUGGAACUGAGACACGGUCCAGACUCCUACGGGAGGCAGCAGUGGGGAAUAUUGCACAAUGGGCGCAAGCCUGAUGCAGCCAUGCCGCGUGUAUGAAGAAGGCCUUCGGGUUGUAAAGUACUUUCAGCGGGGAGGAAGGUGUUGUGGUUAAUAACCGCAGCAAUUGACGUUACCCGCAGAAGAAGCACCGGCUAACUCCGUGCCAGCAGCCGCGGUAAUACGGAGGGUGCAAGCGUUAAUCGGAAUUACUGGGCGUAAAGCGCACGCAGGCGGUCUGUCAAGUCGGAUGUGAAAUCCCCGGGCUCAACCUGGGAACUGCAUUCGAAACUGGCAGGCUUGAGUCUUGUAGAGGGGGGUAGAAUUCCAGGUGUAGCGGUGAAAUGCGUAGAGAUCUGGAGGAAUACCGGUGGCGAAGGCGGCCCCCUGGACAAAGACUGACGCUCAGGUGCGAAAGCGUGGGGAGCAAACAGGAUUAGAUACCCUGGUAGUCCACGCCGUAAACGAUGUCUACUUGGAGGUUGUGCCCUUGAGGCGUGGCUUCCGGAGCUAACGCGUUAAGUAGACCGCCUGGGGAGUACGGCCGCAAGGUUAAAACUCAAAUGAAUUGACGGGGGCCCGCACAAGCGGUGGAGCAUGUGGUUUAAUUCGAUGCAACGCGAAGAACCUUACCUGGUCUUGACAUCCACGGAAGUUUUCAGAGAUGAGAGUGUGCCUUCGGGAACCGUGAGACAGGUGCUGCAUGGCUGUCGUCAGCUCGUGUUGUGAAAUGUUGGGUUAAGUCCCGCAACGAGCGCAACCCUUAUCCUUUGUUGCCAGCGGUCCGGCCGGGAACUCAAAGGAGACUGCCAGUGAUAAACUGGAGGAAGGUGGGGAUGACGUCAAGUCAUCAUGGCCCUUACGACCAGGGCUACACACGUGCUACAAUGGCGCAUACAAAGAGAAGCGACCUCGCGAGAGCAAGCGGACCUCAUAAAGUGCGUCGUAGUCCGGAUUGGAGUCUGCAACUCGACUCCAUGAAGUCGGAAUCGCUAGUAAUCGUGGAUCAGAAUGCCACGGUGAAUACGUUCCCGGGCCUUGUACACACCGCCCGUCACACCAUGGGAGUGGGUUGCAAAAGAAGUAGGUAGCUUAACCUUCGGGAGGGCGCUUACCACUUUGUGAUUCAUGACUGGGGUGAAGUCGUAACAAGGUAACCGUAGGGGAACCUGCGGUUGGAUCACCUCCUU
rnacentral:rRNA from 1 species